AACGAACGCUGGCGGCAUGCCUAACACAUGCAAGUCGAACGGGAUCCUGGCUUCGGCCAGGUGAGAGUGGCGGACGGGUGAGUAACGCGUGGGAACCUGCCCAAUGGUCUGGGAUAACCGCGGGAAACUGCGGCUAAUACCGGAUAAGCCCGAGAGGGGAAAGAUUUAUCGCCGAUGGAGGGGCCCGCGUCCGAUUAGGUAGUUGGUGAGGUAACGGCUCACCAAGCCGACGAUCGGUAGCUGGUCUGAGAGGAUGAUCAGCCACACUGGGACUGAGAUACGGCCCAGACUCCUACGGGAGGCAGCAGUGGGGAAUAUUGGACAAUGGGGGCAACCCUGAUCCAGCAAUGCCGCGUGAGUGAUGAAGGCCUUAGGGUUGUAAAGCUCUUUUGCCAGGGACGAUGAUGACGGUACCUGGAAAAUAGGCCCCGGCUAACUUCGUGCCAGCAGCCGCCGUAACAC
rnacentral:rRNA from 1 species